rnacentral:rRNA from 1 species
GACGAACGCUGGCGGCGUGCUUAACACAUGCAAGUCGAACGAAGUGGCGAACGGGUGAGUAACGAGUAAUCAACCUGCCCUUCAGAGGGGGACAACAGUUGGAAACGACUGCUAAUACCGCAUAGUGAAGGAGGGUAUUGCGUGUGAUUAGCUGGUUGGAGGGGUAACGGCCCAACAAGGCGAUGCUCAGUAGGCGGGCGUAGAGUAUGAAAGGCCAAAAUGGGACUGAGAAACGGCCCAGACUCCCACGGGAGGCAGCAGGUGGGAAUCUUCCGCAAUGGAGGAAAGGCUGACGGAGCAACGCCGCGUGAGUGAUGACGGCAUUCGGGUUGUAAAGCUAUGUUAAUCGGGAAGCGGUACCGGAAUAGAAAGCCACGGCUAACUACGUGCGAGCAGCCGCGGUAAUUC